UACGUAGGGACCGAGCGUUAUCCGGAUUCAUUGGGCGUAAAGACCUCGUAGGCGGCUAUUCAAGUCGAACGUGAAAUCUCGGGGCUCAACUCCGAGCCUGCGUUCGAUACUGGGUAGCUAGAGUCUGGUAGGGGGAUCUGGAAUUCCUGGUGUAGCGGUGGAAUGCGCAGAUAUCAGGAGGAACACCGGUGGCGAAGGCGGGAUCCUGGGCCAGUACUGACGCUGAGGAGCGAAAGCGUGGGGAGCAAACAGG
rnacentral:rRNA from 1 species